rnacentral:rRNA from 1 species
GCACGGUAAGGAUUGACGGACUGAAGGCUCUUUCUCGAUUCCGUGGAAAGUGGUGCAUGGCCGUUUUUGGUUGGUGGAUCGAUCCGUCUGGUUAAUUCCGUUAACGAACGAGACCUCGGCACUCCGAAUAGCGCGGCGGACGUCGCGGCCUCCGGGCCGUCUUCCGCACGAGCUUCUUAGAGGGACCGUCCCCCGCCGGGGAAGGAGGUGCGAGGCAACGACAGGUCUGUGAUGCCCUUAGAUGUUCUGGGCCGCACGCGCAUUACACUGACGCGUCCAACGGGUGACUCCCGACCCGAAGGGGCCGGGGAAUCCGCAAGGCGCGUCGUGAUGGGGAUUGAACGUUGCAAUUGUUGUUCACGAACGAGGAAUUCCUAGUAGGCGCGGGUCAUCAACCCGCGCCGAUUACGUCCCUG